AGACAGCAGUAGCCGCGGGAAUACAGAGGGUGCGAGCGUUAAUCGGAUUUACUGGGCGUAAAGCGUGCGUAGGCGGCUUCUUAAGUCGGAUGUGAAAUCCCUGAGCUUAACUUAGGAAUUGCAUUCGAUACUGGGAAGCUAGAGUAUGGGAGAGGAUGGUAGAAUUCCAGGUGUAGCGGUGAAAUGCGUAGAGAUCUGGAGGAAUACCGAUGGCGAAGGCAGCCAUCUGGCCUAAUACUGACGCUGAGGUACGAAAGCAUGGGGAGCAAACAGGAUUAGAUACCCGUGUAGUCCCUGUCUCUUAUAC
rnacentral:rRNA from 1 species